rnacentral:rRNA from 1 species
UGGGUCUCGCUCGUUGCCUGACUUAACAGGAUGCUCCACAGUACGAACUGGCGACGGCCAUGCACCUCCUCUCAGCGAUUCAGGUAAGGUCUUCAGCCUGACCUACAUAUUGCUGUCGUCCCCGGUGAGUUGUCCGGCGUUGAGUCCAAUUAAACCGCAGGCUCCACCCGUUGUUGUGCUCCCCCGCCAAUUCCUUUAAGUUUCAGCCUUGCGGCCGUACUUCCCAGGUGGCUCGCUUCACGGCUUCCCUGCGGCACCAGACACGGUCGCGCCAUGCCUGACACCUAGCGAGCAUCGUUUACGGCUGGGACUACCCGGGUAUCUAAUCCGGUUCGUGCCCCCAGCUUUCGUCCCUCACCGUCGAACCCGUUCUGGUAAGACGCCUUCGCCACAGGUGGUCCCACAGGGAUUACAAGAUUUCACUCCUACCCCUGUAGUACCUCUUACCUCUCCCGGUUCCAAGUCUGGGCAGUAUCCCC